ACCGCGCACACAGAAAGCUGCCAUGACACAGCCAACACGAGGAGGAUCUGUUCAUGAGCCCAGCAGACUGAACAGAAACUCUCAUGAUUGAGACAGAAAAGGAAUACACACGACCAGACGAUUAAAAAGCCAAUCAAGUACCUGCAUGUUAAAGACUUCAUCAGAGCUUUCUGAUUGCCCUGUAAUAUUGCUUACUUCAGCAGAAGCUUGUGAGGACAGUGAGGAGGAAGAAUAUCGGUUGACAGCUGGGUAACUUAAUGGGCUGUUUUGGGGGAAAAAAAAUGGUCAUUAACUCAGUCUCUGAAUUGUACUUUACCGCAUGCUGGUGUGGUAUAAAACCAAAGGAAAAAAAUAUAUACAUCCCAUUUUGUUGUCUCCUGUUUGCCUCAAUAUAA